CCCCUCCAUGAUGCAGGCUAUGGGGUCACAUAAAACUUUGUCCAGGGUUACUACAUAACAUAGCACGACAACUGUAAACUAUGUACUACUGUACUAAAGAACCCCCUGAAUGAUGUAGGCUAUGGGGCCACAUAAGACUUUGUCCAUCCAGGGUUAUAGUGAACGACAAUUUUAAACUAAAGAACCCCCUGAAUGAUGUAGGCUAUGGGGCCACAUAAGACUUUGUGCAUCCAGGGUUACGUUGAACAAGAAAUUUAAACUAAAAGUAAGGAAUUAAUUCACAUACAUUAACUUUUUUACUCUUGAUAUAACUCAAAGUAAGGAAUUAUAAACUAAAAGUAAGGAAUUAAUUAACAUACAUUAACUCUU